rnacentral:rRNA from 1 species
UACGUAGGGGGCUAGCGUUGUCCGGAAUCACUGGGCGUAAAGCGCGUGUAGGCGGCCCGGUAAGUCCGCUGUGAAAGUCGGGGGCUCAACCCUCGAAUGCCGGUGGAUACUGUCGGGCUAGAGUGCGGAAGAGGCGAGUGGAAUUCCUGGUGUAGCGGUGAAAUGCGCAGAUAUCAGGAAGAACACCGAUUGCGAAGGCAGCUCGCUGGGACGUUACUGACGCUGAGACGCGAAAGCGUGGGGAGCAAACAGG